AGCAGCCGCGGUAAUUCCAGCUCCAAUAGCGUAUAUUAAAGUUGUUGCAGUUAAAAGCUCGUAGUUGAAUUUCGGGGUUAGUAGGUUGGUCAUGCCACUGGUAUGUACUGAUCUUACUGAUUCCUCCUUCCUGAUGAACCGUAAUGCCAUUAAUUUGGUGUUGCGGGGAGACUGGACUGUUACUUUGAAAAAUUGAGUGUUUAAAGCAGGCUAACGCUUGAAUACAUUAGCAUGGAAUAAUGAAAUAGGACGUUCGAUCCUAUUUUGUUGGUUUCUAGGAUUGACGUAAUGAUUAAUAGGGAUAGUUGGGGGCAUUAGUAUUCAAUUGUCAGAGGUGAAAUUCUUGGAUUUAUUGAAGACUAACUACUGCGAAAGCAUUUGCCAAGGAUGUUUUCAUUAAUCAAGAACGAAAGUUAGGGAUCGAAGACGAUCAGAUACCGUCGUAGUCUU
rnacentral:rRNA from 1 species